rnacentral:rRNA from 1 species
GGACAACGAGUCGCAAGACCGCGAGGUUUAGCAAAUCUCUUAAAGCCGUUCUCAGUUCGGAUUGUAGGCUGCAACUCGCCUACAUGAAGUCGGAAUCGCUAGUAAUCGCGGAUCAGCAUGCCGCGGUGAAUACGUUCCCGGGCCUUGUACACACCGCCCGUCACACCAUGAGAGUUUGUAACACCCAAAGCCGGUGGGGGUAACCUUUUUGGAGCCAGCCGUCUAAGGUGGGACAGAUGAUUGGGGUGAAGUCGUAACAAGGUAAC